rnacentral:rRNA from 1 species
AGCUUAAAGUAUUUAUUUUAAGUGACGCCUGCCCAGUGCUAAAGUGUAAACGGCCGCAGUACCUUGACUGUGCUAAGGUAGCAUAAUCAGUUGGCUUUUAAAUGAAGUCGGGAAUGAAUGGACUUAUAGGGUUAAGCUGUCUCUUUCAUAUUUUAUUGAAAUUAAUUAUUAGGUGAAAAUGCCUAAGCAACAGAAAAAAGACGAGAAGACCCUAGGAGUUUCAGUUAAAAGUUACGUUAUAACUUCUACUUUUGUUGGGGCGACAUAGGAAUAAUUUCAACUUCCUUAAUCUUAUUUACCGACUUAGUAUAUAUAAAUAACUACCCUAGGGAUAACAGCGUAAUUCAUUAUUGAGCUUGCGACCUCCAUGUUGGACUAGGAUUUUAGUGGGCUAGCCGCCUAUUUAUAUUGUUCUGUUCGAACUUAAAUUCCUACAU